rnacentral:misc_RNA from 1 species
GAUGAAGAACGUAGCGAAAUGCGAUACUUGGUGUGAAUUGCAGAAUCCCGUGAACCAUCGAGUCUUUGAACGCAAGUUGCGCCCGAAGCCAUCAGGUUGAGGGCACGUCUGCCUGGGCGUCACAUAUCGUUGUUCGAUGCCUAUCGCAUUGCGAUAGGACUUAGGGCGAAUGAUGGCUUCCCGUGAGCGUUGUUGCCUCGCGGUUGGUUGAAAAUCGAGUCCUUGGUAGGGUGUGCCAUGAUAGAUGGUGGUCGAGUUAGCACGAGACUGAUCAUGUGCAUGCUCCCCAAAAUAUGGCCUCUGUGACCCACACGCGUCUUUUGACGCUCAUGACGAGACCUCAGGUCAGGCGGGGCUACCCGCUGAAUUUAAGCAUAUCAAUAAGCGGAGGA